rnacentral:snoRNA from 1 species
GAAGUGGUACUUCACAUGGUUUUUUCUGUAAUAUGCUUUUCUAGAUGUUAACGCAAAGUCAAUUACACCAAAGCUAUGAAGAUUAGAUACGGACUCUCUUCUGAUCGUGAAGACGCGCUUCAGCCUCUUUCGUAGGAUUGGAAAGUUGAUGACUGCCAGGAGGACAUUUUGCCCUCUUAUGGAAGGAGGCUUAUGAGU